AUUCACUACCAGAAUGACUGCAGAUGGAGUUACGGUGUUCUGGGAAAGAUGUGUCCAUGGCAUCGCUAUGGGUCAAGAGACGACUCAGAGACAGGACAAGGCCAAGAAGCAGGACUUGGAUGAGAAUGACCCUGCACUUCCAGAUGAAGAGGAAUGAUCACAUUUACGUAUGGGAGAUUCAAUUCUAAUUUUCACUUGUAUGAAACAGAGUGAACUGUGAAGAGAAUGACAUGAUUAAAUUGAUAUACUCCUGGAGUGAUAAAUCUAAUAUCUGGAAAGAUGUUUUCUCCUGUGCUUGCUUUUGAAUUCUAGAAAUUGGAUUUCAGUAUUUUAGCCUUUAAAGAUAAGGGGGCAGGCUUUAUCUGUUUCUUGUCACAAGUAUUUUGUGUUGGCUGUAAAAAGACUUAUAAAAGCAACUGAUCACUGUUUGUAUUGAUUUGUAUGUCACAAGAGAAGCAAGUGCAGUAAACGGCAGCAUCUUUUGACUUUCA